GAUGAACGCUGGCGGCGUGCUUAACACAUGCAAGUCGAACGGUGAAGGCGGAGCUUGCUCUGCUGGAUCAGUGGCGAACGGGUGAGUAACACGUGAGCAAUCUGCCCCUGACUCUGGGAUAAGCGCUGGAAACGGCGUCUAAUACUGGAUACGAGCUGCGAAGGCAUCUUCAGCAGCUGGAAAGAAUUUCGGUCAGGGAUGAGCUCGCGGCCUAUCAGCUUGUUGGUGAGGUAAUGGCUCACCAAGGCGUCGACGGGUAGCCGGCCUGAGAGGGUGACCGGCCACACUGGGACUGAGACACGGCCCAGACUCCUACGGGAGGCAACAGUGGGGAAUAUUGCACAAUGGGCGAAAGCCUGAUGCAGCAACGCCGCGUGAGGGACGACGGCCCUCGGGUUGUAAACCUCUUUUAGCAGGGAAGAAGCGAAAGUGACGGUACCUGCAGAAAAAGCGCCGGCUAACUACGU
rnacentral:rRNA from 1 species